ACAGUGCCCUCGAGGGGCCCCCACCAUACGGAGUGGCCUCUCUUCUCUGCCUGCCAGCUUUUAAUCCUCCGCAGCGAGAACCCGCAAGCUCCUACAUGCCCUGCUAGAGCAAGACUUAAACCUGGGUACCCUGAGGUGAUCUGCCCUAAGAAAAGGUUAGAGAGGAACGGGCACCACAGUCAGUGAGAUCCAACAAGCAAGCCUCCACGUUGCCAGAUUCUAAGGACAGAGCAAGAAGUCCCAGAAAUCUGCUGAUGCUGGGUCAGAAAAUCCUGUCUUUUCCAAUGAAGCAACUUUUCUCCACAGCUAAGGAAGACUGGUUUGAGUACCUUCUGUGCUAGAUGAGCCCGGAGCAUGCUGAAAAAGCAGUCAGUGAUGGGUAAGAGCGGCACGGUCGGUGGCCAGUUUUCUUCCCAGCCUGGAAACAGCAAGCCAGGAACUGGAAUUCCAGACCAUGUGGGCUGCCAUGAAGAUGCAAGAACGCAGACCUAGGACCUCUGCAAGGACAAGUGCUCUGAACUGCUGAGCAUCCCUUUAGCCCCACAGCCUUGUUUCCAAGGUGUCCAGUGUUGUGUGUGGAGUGUGCAUGCACAAUGAUCAGAAGACAUUGUGCCCAAGUCAGUUUUCAGGCUUGGUCAUCAUUAACCCAAAACCCUGUCUCAACCGCCUCCCCACCCGCCCCCAAAAAAGAGAAAGGUAGCAUUCCUUUUAAACUAUGGUGAUGCAUUUAAACCUAGCAGUGCAAAGGAAAAGAUGAUAAAAUCCUAAAAAACAACAAAGCAAACCAAGCAUUGGUGGUGCAUGCCUUUAAUCCCAGUACUUGGAAGGCAGAAGCAGGUGUAUAUCUGGGUUUAGGUCGGUCUGCUUACAGAGUGAGUUUCAGAACAGAGAACAGCUGGAGCUACAGAGAAAAACCCUGUCUCAAAGCCCCCCACCCCACAACUAACAAAGCACAAGGCUCACACACAGAGCUAGGACAGUGCUACUCAAAUUAAAUUUCUGUUAUUUCAAGGAUAACAAUGUUUUCCUGAUUCCUUAGCUUAUUUUUAGAGAUAGGGUCUUAUGUAGUUCCAGAUGGCCUUGAACCCAGAGUGCCUGCGUCUCUCACUCAGCUUAUAGCUUAUGGUCUAUAAUGACCAUGAUUCUGCCUUCCGUGGACACAGAUCAGUGUGCGGCAGAGACACUGCUGCCCUUCCAUGACUGUCUGACUAGAAUGAAGCUUUGUCCCCAGAGCUGAUACCGUAUGUUACCAGUGCUUUAACACUCAAGCUUUUUUGUAUGUUAUCACUAAGCGAAGAACAC